AACAAUUCUGCCAAAGUACUGGGAGGGGGGUUGACUACCUCUUACCUUCUUCAUAGUAGUAGAGAUAUCAGAAAAGAGGUUGCAUUAAAGCGCUGUGAAAUCUAUGAGAAGUUUAGUGCCAGCCUACGCAAAGAUGGCGAGCAGAUGGCAUCGAGUAUCAACAAAAGUACACUUGUUUUUUAUUGGAAAAACAAAAGCACAUCUGUUGACAGGGACCAAACUGAAUGUGACCAUAGCGGAAAAGCGAAUGAAAAUAGUGACCUGUUGACUGCCCAUGACACCCAAAAUGUCAGCACACCAAAUCAGGACAGGAUGAAACAAAUAGAGCUAGAAAAAACUGU
rnacentral:misc_RNA from 1 species